ACCAAUAUAAAAAGACACAGAGGGGGCAGAUCCAACAAAUCCUGACCGUUCAACGAAAAUCCAACGGUGACUGACACUCCCGAGUUUCGUGGCAAAACAGUGUCCGUCCCGUUCCGUCACGGGCCCUCGCACAAAUUGCGCCUCAUCAAGUCUGAACCGCACCGAGCUAAUCAAUUCCCCUCAUUUUUUCGACCAACCAAUCUCGCGAGCACAGAGCACUGCCCUCCGCCGCCGUUGCGCUGCUCGCUGCCGCCGCCUCGCCCUCAGCCGCUACCACGCCGCACGCUGCCGACGUCUUGCAGGGCACCACGCGACAGUGUCCACUGCUGCCGGACUGCCCGCCACAAGCACAGAGAAGUGGGCGCGUUCCCACAGCGCCGGACGCACGCGCGAGCGUGACGAGCGCAUCGGAUAACAUGUAGAGUUGGAGCUCGGCAGCAGGCCGGAUCUUCGGGAAAGCCGCCCUGUAGGAUGCCCGUCAUGGCAGCGGGAAGCACUGCCUUUCGUCGCGGUGACGGCCCUGACAGCACGAAGGGCAGUUGGUGCAUGCGGCGUUCACUCUCUAGUUGAGGCAAGGAAACCAAAAGUCUGCCUCUGGAGGUCAUGUGAAGGAGUUAUUUCACAAUCCCAAAGAUCAAUGUACUGGGAGUAGUCUUAUCCUAAGAUUUUUCUAAUUUUCUGACCUCACAUGUAUAUUGGUUUGCGCAUACUAAGGUGAUCGUGGUUGUGCUAUGUUUUGUCUACAGUUUCAUCACUGUAUAUGUUUGCACUACUCCACACUAAGUCACCGUGUAGACCAACUGCUAAAGUUGAAUUGAAUCCAAAUAUCCAAUGGUUCA